UACGGAGGGUGCGAGCGUUGUCCGGAAUCACUGGGCGUAAAGGGCGCGUAGGUGGCUACUCAAGCGCGCGGUGAAAGCCCGGGGCUCAACCCCGGGUCGGCCGUGCGGACUGGGAGGCUCGAGCACUGUAGGGGCGGGUGGAAUUCCUGGUGUAGCGGUGGAAUGCGCAGAUAUCAGGAGGAACACCGAUGGCGAAGGCAGCUCGCUGGGACGGUACUGACGCUGAGGCGCGAAAGCGUGGGGAGCGAACAGG
rnacentral:rRNA from 1 species